rnacentral:rRNA from 1 species
GACGAACGCUGGCGGCAUGCUUAACACAUGCAAGUCGAACGGAAAGGCCCUGCUUUUGUGGGGUGCUCGAGUGGCGAACGGGUGAGUAACACGUGAGUAACCUGCCCUUGACUUUGGGAUAACUUCAGGAAACUGGGGCUAAUACCGGAUAGGAGCUCCUGCUGCAUGGUGGGGGUUGGAAAGUUUCGGCGGUUGGGGAUGGACUCGCGGCUCAUCAGCUUGUUGGUGGGGUAGUGGCUUACCAAGGCUUUGACGGGUAGCCGGCCUGAGAGGGUGACCGGCCACAUUGGGACUGAGAUACGGCCCAGACUCCUACGGGAGGCAGCAGUGGGGAAUAUUGCACAAUGGGCGGAAGCCUGAUGCAGCAACGCCGCGUGCGGGAUGACGGCCUUCGGGUUGUAAACCGCUUUCGCCUGUGACGAAGCGUGAGUGACGGUAAUGGGUAAAGAAGCACCGGCUAACUACGUG